AAGCAGAGUAACUAAGAUAGCAAAACUAAAGACCGAUGGACAACAUCUACCACAAAACUAGGUAUAAACCUGGACAUCAGAAUAGAAAAAUUACCAGAACAAAGGCAAGGCCAUAAAUCAGGGGUGAACAAGUAGAAGAAAUAAGUGGAUGAGUAAGAGAAUGAAUGAACAAUGAGUCUGGGCUGGGCUAUGAUCCCAACACUUUGGGAGGCCGAGGAGGGAGGAUUGCUUGAGGCCAGGAGUUUGAGACUAGCCUGGGCAACACAGCAAAAGUGGCUCUACAUAAAUCUUAAAAAAAAAAAGAAAAGAAAAAGCGGGGAAAAAAUUAGUCUGAACACUGCAAAAUUGCCCCUAGGCCAGGUACAUGGUGAUGUUGGCUGUAUCCUGGCGUAGCGACAAUUUCUGUUGCUGUAGACAUCCCAGGAAAUUUUCUCCUCCUCUGCUCUUCAGGAAGUUUGACCACUCCACGACACAUGGGGACAUUUCCAAUGUCAAAAAUUAUAACCAACCAUAAAACCUAUUUUAAUCCAAGCAACAACCAUCUC
rnacentral:lncRNA from 1 species